rnacentral:rRNA from 1 species
AUUGAACGCUGGCGGCAGGCCUAACACAUGCAAGUCGAGCGGAUGAAGGGAGCUUGCUCCUGGAUUCAGCGGCGGACGGGUGAGUAAUGCCUAGGAAUCUGCCUGGUAGUGGGGGAUAACGUCCGGAAACGGGCGCUAAUACCGCAUACGUCCUGAGGGAGAAAGUGGGGGAUCUUCGGACCUCACGCUAUCAGAUGAGCCUAGGUCGGACUAGCUAGUUGGUGGGGUAAAGGCCUACCAAGGCGACGAUCCGUAACUGGUCUGAGAGGAUGAUCAGUCACACUGGAACUGAGACACGGUCCAGACUCCUACGGGAGGGAGCAGUGGGGAAUAUUGGACAAUGGGCGAAAGCCUGAUCCAGCCAUGCCGCGUGUGUGAAGAAGGUCUUCGGAUUGUAAAGCACUUUAAGUUGGGAGGAAGGGCAGUAAGUUAAUACCUUGCUGUUUUGACGUUACCAACAGAAUAAGCACCGGCUAACUUCGUG